AACUGAAGAGUUUGAUCAUGGCUCAGAUUGAACGCUGGCGGCAGGCUUAACACAUGCAAGUCGAGCGGGGGAAGUAGCUUGCUACUGGACCUAGCGGCGGACGGGUGAGUAAUG
rnacentral:rRNA from 1 species